CAAGUCGCUCCUUUUAAUUCUCCAUGCUGAAAAUGCAAGGAGUGGAUAUUGUGUGAGACAGAUUUUAGUCAAUUUUUACACUUGUAAAAUGAAUUCCAACUAUAUAAUAGGAAUUGUAGGAGCUGUAGGGACAGCAUUUAUUGGAUAUUGUAUAUACUUCGACAGGAAACGCAGGAGUGAUCCGAAUUUCAAGGAAAAACUAAGAGAAAGUUAGUGCCAAAUUAUAUCUAUUCAGUUUAUAAAUAUUGAAGUCACAAUAUUUGUUGCAUAAUAUCACAGAGUAGAUACCACUGCCUUGCCAUGUAUUCGCAAUCGCAAAGCACUUACGUCUCGCAAUCCAGUCACCAUGAUCCUAGCCAAUGUACUUAAAUGACUUAUAUAUGAGAGGCACUUGCCUAGGGGUUUCCACAAGUUGCUCGGCACCUUUUUGGCAACUUUUCAUUUUAUGAAUAACUUUUGUUUUAAACUGCAACUUUUGUAACUUCGAGCAACUUUUCAUGAAUUUGACUCAAAUUCAUGAAAAGUUGCUCGAGUUACAAAAGUUGCCGUUUAAAACAAAAGUUAUUCAUAAAAUGAAAAGUUGCCAAAAAGGUGCCGAGCAACUUGUGGAAACCUCUACACUUGCCCCCUGAACAUCUAGGGGGGGUGAAUAGGUGUAUACAAAUCCGCCAAAAUUGGAUCAAAAUCCGCGAUCUGACAAUGAUUUUGUCUAAAUUUGAAUCCGCUAAAAGCUCUACUAUGAAGUCACAAUCCAGGAUCCGAACUAAAUUGCAAGCUAAAUCCACAAUCCGAGUCAGAUUCGCAAAUCUGUGUAAAAUAUUUGGCAGAUCUGAAAUCCGAACAAUUUUCUCUGUGAAAUCCGACGAUCUGAAAACCUAUUCAGCCCCCCUCUAAUGUUUCAGGAGGGUGACAGCCUUUCCCUAACAUCCUGGCUAGAAACAUGGUGGCCGGUAAUGCCAACAUCAAAGGUGCCAAUGGCCCGACACAAGAAGUCAGACUUCUGUAACUCUAUUUUGUGAUUAUAUUGGCCUACAAAUUUGGCCUAUAAUAUUGACCAAUUUACCACUAGCAAUUUUGAAAAUAUUACUGGUUUUCCUGGUAAUAUCUAAUGUCAUAUUUACAGUCACAGAUGGAUCAUCCAUCAAGACAGACAAGUUUCUUACACAAAUAUAUUGCUAGCUUCUAUCAGGUUACAAGGAGCAAUUCUUGAAUGUUACAGAGCUUGAAAUAACAGCCGAAAAGCAGGGUUUUCAACCUGAAAAAAGCAAGGAAAGUCAUAACUGCCGAUUGCCAUGAUCAGGAACUUUGGGAACGUUAUUUCAAGCCCUGUGCUAAUAGUUACGUAAAGAAAUUCUAAAAUUAAAACAUAAUUUCUAGGAAGAUUAAAAGCAAAGAGAGCAAAAGAAGCUUCUCAAGCUGAUGAAUUGAAGG